CCUCGGUAUCGUGGGAACACCGAGCAUCAUCGUUCGGUUUCCGCCUCCCCCUUCCAUACGUUAACCCUAAUUUCGCCGUCACCGUCUGUGCCCUCCUAACUCAGGACGACCCUCGGCAUGGCCAGCGAGGAGUUGCCGUCGCCCACCUCGAGCCGCAAGCAUCGGCGGUCCUCGGACGACCAUGGGGCGGAGGCCUCCUCGAAGCGGCGCAAGCACCACCAUCGCCGCCACCGUCACCGCAGCAGGCAUGGCCGUGAGAGCGAUGACGGGAUUGAGGUGGCGGAUCCCGCUUCGGAUCCGGAGCCCGCUUCCCUUGCCGCCAUCAAGACCGUUGAUGACGAGCGAGAGGAGGGGGAGAUUCUUGAAGAGGAUGAGGAACGAGCAGGCGUCGAUGGAGGGCCGGCGCAUGGGCUUAAGAUCAAGUCUGACGGUGUCGAUGCUUCUUCCGAUCUGACCAUGCCUGGGGCGAAAGUUGCUACAUCAGGGAAAAGUUUUAAGGUGCCCAUUCAUAACCAGAAUGGAUUGACAGAUUCAAAGAUGUUGGAACCUGCUCCAUCUUGUGAGAACUCAAGCUACACGGAUCAAGCCAAGCUGAGGGGAGAUAUUUCAGAUGGAGACACUUUUAUCCGGGAGGCUGAGAAUUUAUCACCGAGUGAUGUGGUUAAAAAAACUGUAAUUCAAGGGGAAACUAUAUUAUGCCAAUUGGAAUUAUCAGAACAAAAUGAAAUUAAGCACAAGCACACGGAUAGAAAUGAUAUAAAAAUUCGGGUAAGAUCAAGAUCUCCAGGAGAAAGGUCUCCUGCAGCAAAGCACAGGAAAAGGGAUGGCCCUGAAGACAGAGAUUCUGGCAGUGUUUCGGAGAGGCUUGAUUCAAAGCAGUAUCCUGAAUCAAGGGAUUCCAGUAGAAGAGCAUCUGAUAAGAUCAGAUCGGUAUCACCCAAAACCUUGCGGGAUGGGUACAGAGACACCAGAAUGUCUCCAUCUUUCAGCAGGCAACAUGACGAAGGCUAUCACAGGAGCAGGUCCAGCUCCCAUGAUCAUACAAGGAGGCAAUCCUAUGAAAAAGUUUUAGAACCUUCAGCUGAUGGCAAUGAUCAAGUUGAUUCACAUGGAAACAUGCGUGGUGAUUCUGAUAGGUACUGUGCUUUAGAUAGGUAUGCUGCUGGAAGUCAAGCAAAGGAUAAAAUUUUCCUUAGUGAACGAGAAAGCAGUGGCAAUAGAAAUGGUGACAGGCAUGGAAGUCGGGAGCGUGAGAGGAACAGGGAAAGAAACAGCAGCAUUGUCAGGGAAAGAGAUAAUGUGGACUCAAAUGAAAGGCAUCAUAGAGAAAGAGGGAGUAGUAAUUAUAGCAGAUACAACAGAGGGGAGGGCAGACAUGGAAGUCGGGAAAGAGAUAGGGAGAAGGAAAGAAACAGUAGCAGUUAUAGAGACAGAGAUAAGGUGGACUUGGAUAAAGGGGUUCACAAACAAAGAGAGGGGAGUAGUGAUUAUAGCAGGUACAACAGACGGGAGGUAAAUGACAGAGCAAGAGAUGAACCAAGUGAUAUUAGGGAUAAAUUUUUACAAAGGGAAAGGUUAAGGGAUGGUGGGCAUGCAAGAGAUAGAGAUGGUGAUGAUAGAGAUAAGAAUAGAGCAAGGCACAAGGAAGUUUAUGCGCAUGAAGGUAGAAAUCAAGGUGCGCAGUUGGAAACAGACAAACCAAGUAGCAGGGAUAGACAUAGGGAAUCUAGGCAUUCGAAGUAUGGAGUGGAGCAUCACAAGGGCAUAUCACGAUCUAAGGAUGAUGGUUCUAGUAAAGACAAUCCUAAAGAAGACAAACAAAAGUUGAUUAGGGAGGAAGAAGAAGAUUACCAAGAGAAAAUUGAACAGCAACUUGCCAAGCAGGAUGAAGAAGAUAUUGACAAGAUCAAAGAAGAGAGCAGGAGGAGGAAGCAAGCUAUUUUGGAAAAAUAUCGACAACGGCAUCUGCAGCAAGUUGAAUCCUCAUCUGAUGGCAACAAGAAUGCUGCUGAGAAAACUUCUUUGGAUAAGGAGACGUCACAUGGCUUUCAUGCUACCAGUGCCGAUAAUAAAGUUAUUAGUGAAGAGCUUGAGAAUGUACAUCACUCUGGAGAUGUAUAUGAUGCUGAUUUAUCAUUUACAGUGGGAAAGUCACCCAUGCAAGAGGGAGAUUUGACUACUAAGAAAAUGAACAAUGUUGGGGGACUUGGGGAGGGUACUCCAAAGAGUGAGAGAUCGGCAGACAUGUUUAGUGAUGACAUCUUUGGGGAAUCACCCGUUGGAGUGUGCAAGAUGGGAAAAGGUGAAGGCCCACAAAUAGAUAGAAGUUUUCUCUAUGACAACUGGGAUGAUGCAGAGGGAUAUUAUAGUUACAGGUUUGGAGAAGUGCUUGAUAGUCGAUAUGAAGUUAUUGCAGCCCAUGGAAAGGGUGUUUUUUCAACGGUUGUCCGUGCAAAGGAUCUCAAGGCUGGGAAAGGUGACCCUGAAGAAGUAGCUGUUAAAAUAAUACGCAACAACGAUACCAUGUACAAGGCUGGACAAGAUGAACUUGUUAUUUUAAAGAAAUUGGCAGGCGCUGAUCCUGAGGAUAGACGCCAUUGUGUUAGGUUUCUCUCAUCUUUCAAGUAUCGAAAUCAUCUUUGCUUAGUUUUUGAAUCUCUUCAUAUGAACCUUCGUGAGGUUCUAAAGAAAUUUGGUCGUAAUAUUGGGCUUAAGCUGACUGCUGUGAGGGCUUACGCGAAGCAGCUUUUCAUUGCACUGAAGCAUCUGAGGAAUUGUGGCGUUCUGCACUGUGAUAUCAAGCCAGAUAACAUGCUGGUUAAUGAGGCAAAAAAUGUUCUAAAGCUUUGUGAUUUUGGUAACGCUAUGUUUGCGGGUAAGAAUGAGAUUACACCCUACCUUGUUAGCCGCUUUUACCGUGCCCCAGAAAUAAUUCUUGGAUUGCCAUAUGAUCAUCCGAUGGAUAUGUGGUCAGUUGGUUGCUGCCUAUAUGAACUUUAUACGGGAAAAGUACUUUUUCCUGGUCCUUCAAACAAUGACAUGCUUCGACUUCACAUGGAGUUAAAGGGUACUUUCCCCAAAAAGAUGCUUCGGAAGGGUGCCUUCACGGAUCAGCAUUUUGAUCAAGACUUAAAUUUUCAUGCCACCGAGGAGGACCCUGUUACAAAGAAGCCUGUUAAGAGACUGCUGCUCAGUAUUAAACCAAAGGAUAUUGGUGUCCUCAUAUCAGGCUUUCCUGGCGAAGAUUCCAAAAUGUUAUCAAAUUUUAAGGAUCUUCUAGACCGAAUAUUUGUAUUGGAUCCAGAAAAGAGGAUGACAAUAUCUCAGGCACUAAGUCAUCCAUUUAUCACGGGCAAGUGAACUAAGAUGCUGAAUUUUCUGACUCUAACAAUGCUGUUCAACUAUGCAUCUACCUUGUAAACUAAAUUCAUUUUCAUCCAUCUAAUUCUUCUACAUUUAUCCAUCUUUUCACUGCUUGGGUGGAGAUUCAUGGAUUGUGUCGACGAGGAGUUGAAGAGAUCAUUGGUUUAGCCUUCCUAUGUGGGGGUCCUUAUCAGUGUGAUGUCUGUUUCUUCGGUAUUCAAUUGGAGAAUGGGUGAUAAUCUUUGAAUGUAUUUCUUGUGAGCUUGAAAAUAUCUGCAGUUUGUGUACCUAAGGGGUUUUGCCAGUGCUAUGUGGGUAUCUGCAAUGUUUUAUAUGCUAAAGGCAACAAAAGAAGCCUUUACAUUGGAGAUUGCUGGAUCAGUUGCUUGUGCUGUUGAAAGGAUUGCUGUGCUGUUCGACAUAUAUCGGAACGGAUCAAAUUGUUUGGUACCAAAGAGCAAGGAUUUAAAUAUUGAUUGGACCUCUUCAUUCUGACCAGCAUUUAAUCAGUCCGGUCAAAUACCAAUAUCAAGCAUACAGCUUGACACCGAUUAUUGUGGAUGCAUAUGUUCAUCUCCGGCUGACUUUUCUUCUAAGCAGCAUGACGAGGAUUCUCAAGGUUGUGUGAAGUGUUCCUCAUUUGUUCCUGGUCGAUCCUGUCGAUCCUUUCUACUUAAAUUAUCAAAUUACCUCCUGAUAUUUCUUAGGAGGUUCAUUCAUGGUCCUCAGGAGAUGCGUCUUGAGCAUAUGCCAGCCUCAAUUGUGGAUCUCAGUCGAUAGGUUGAUCUAAUGAGCUCAUCGGACAACAUGGAUGCCCUUGAAGUGCUAGUUGUAUCGCUGGCAAACUUCGUCACCUAUCUACCGAAAGGCUUGUGGACUUUGUAAGAUUGUUUCGUGAGAUCGCAGUAGCCCUAGAGGAAUUACUGAUGGAUCAGAGAAAAAUGCCGUAGAAUGUCUUGUUUGUGUUUUGGCGGAUGUAAGGUGUUCCUUACAUGGAAUUACAUUGUUGUCUUUGUGGUUUGGCAAAUGCCUAGGGUUGUAACA